rnacentral:misc_RNA from 1 species
AAGUCGUAACAAGGUUUCCGUAGGUGAACCUGCGGAAGGAUCAUUACAAGAAACGAGGCCGGGUGCGCUCGUCCGCCCGGUCCCGCUCCUUACCUUGCCUACUGCACCGUUUGUUGCUUCCUGGCGGCGGACUGCCCGCCGCCAGGGACGUUGAUACAACCCUGUAUAGAAGCAUUGAAACUCUGAGAAAACGCGAAAUCGUACAACUUUCAACAAUGGAUCUCUUGGUUCUG